rnacentral:rRNA from 1 species
UGGGGAAUUUUGGACAAUGGGCGAAAGCCUGAUCCAGCAAUGCCGCGUGUGUGAAGAAGGCCUUCGGGUUGUAAAGCACUUUUGUCCGGAAAGAAAUCCUUGGCUCUAAUACAGUCGGGGGAUGACGGUACCGGAAGAAUAAGCACCGGCUAACUACGUGCCAGCAGCCGCGGUAAUACGUAGGGUGCAAGCGUUAAUCGGAAUUACUGGGCGUAAAGCGUGCGCAGGCGGUUUGCUAAGACCGAUGUGAAAUCCCCGGGCUCAACCUGGGAACUGCAUUGGUGACUGGCAGGCUAGAGUAUGGCAGAGGGGGGUAGAAUUCCACGUGUAGCAGUGAAAUGCGUAGAGAUGUGGAGGAAUACCGAUGGCGAAGGCAGCCCCCUGGGCCAAUACUGACGCUCAUGCACGAAAGCGUGGGGAGCAAACAGGAUUAGAUACCCUGGUAGUCCACGCCCUAAACGAUGUCAACUAGUUGUGGGGAUUCAUUCUAGUAACGUAGCUAACGCGUGAAGUUGACCGCCUGGGGAGUACGGUCGCAAGAUUAAAACUCAAAUGAAUUGACGGGGUCAUAGCUGUUUCCU